ensembl:lncRNA
CUUUAAAAGUCAAAGUCAAAGUGGCAUACUAAUGUAGUGUACUGGAAAAUAUUAUAUUUUAACAACAUAAAUUAUUAAACACUUCAGCAACCCAUAUGUACAUCUAAAACAACAACUCUUAAUCUAUAACUAGCUAAUGUUAAGCUGUUAUACUAAGUUUAUGAAACAGAAGCUUAUUUUUAUUACAAAAAUACAUAGGCUACCCAGGGAAGUUAUUUUUACACAGAAGACAAAAACUUUAAUCUUCAACUAGCUACUGUAAGUAAAAUGUUGUCUAUGCUAUUUAUGGAUGUUUAAUCAAACAUGAAUUCACUAAAACAAGAAGAUACCCUACCUACCAAAUCAACUAACAUACAUUGUACAUUGGAUUUGAUGGUCCAGACCAUCCCACAGAUGCUCAGUCGAAUUGGAGGCAACACCUUGUUCUGCUAUGCUCCUCAAACCAUUCCUUAACUAUAUUUGCAGUGUGGCAGGUGUAUUAUCCCGCUGAAAGGGGCCACUGUCAUCAGGGAACGCCAUUGCCAUGAAGGAACAUCGGCCAGAUCAUAAUACGGCCUCUGACGGCUUGCCUUCUUCCCAUAGUGCAUCUGCUGCCAUUUCUGCCUCAACUAAAUAAUGCACACACACUCGGCUAUCCACCUGAAGUAAAAGAAAAGAUGAGUUAUGAGACCAGACAACCUUCUUCCAUUGAUCCAGGGUCCAGUCCUGAUGCUCACAUGCCUAUUGAAGAGACUUUUGGCGAUGGACAGGGGUCUGUGGCUGCAGUGCACUGUUCUGACACAUUUCACAUUGGAAAUCCAAUACUUGCAUUUAAAAUUGUAAAUCGGCAUUUUCUCUCCAAAAAAUUGCUUAAUUGAAAAAUCAAUCAAUGUGCAAUGAAUCCAUCUGUUGUAUCCUUGGUGCUGGGUAAACAAUUAAAACAUUUCAAAUGUAAAACUUUAGUUUAUAAGUAAUCUAAAAGUAAUCCAAAAGUAGUCUGAAUACCUAAUAAGAGUACCUGAGUAAUCUAAACUGCAUUACUUGCUACAAUUUUCAUUAUGUAAUCAGUACUCUGAAUCAAACUUUAAAAAAUUAGUUUGUACAACUGUAUUCCUGAAGUUCAGUAAACGCAAUAAAGUUUUUAAAAGCUUUCCAGCUGGUUGUCUUAUUAUUUUAAGUUGUCUUAACAUUCUUGUUUAUGUCCAUUGGACGGAAUAGUAGAA